rnacentral:rRNA from 1 species
CCUACGGGAGGCUGCAGUGGGGAAUAUUGCACAAUGGGCGCAAGCCUGAUGCAGCCAUGCCGCGUGUAUGAAGAAGGCCUUCGGGUUGUAAAGUACUUUUAGUGGGGAGGAAGGGAGUAAAGUGUAUACCUUUGCGCAUUGACGUUACCCGCAGAAGAAGCAACGGCUAACUCCGUGCCAGCAGCCGCGGUAAUACGGAGGGUGCAAGCGUUAAUCGGAAUUAUUGGGCGUAAAGGGAACGCAGGCGGUUUGUUAAGUCUGAUGUGAAAUCCCCGGGCUUAACCUGGGAACUGCAUCUGAUACUGGCAGGCUUGAGUGUCGUAGAGGAGGGUGGAAUUCCAGGUGUAGCGGUGAAAUGCGUAGAUAUCUGGAGGAACACCGGUGGCGAAGGCGGCCCCCUGGACGAAGACUGACGCUGAGGUGCGAAAGCGUGGGUAGCAAACAGGAUUAGAUACCCGUGUAGUC